rnacentral:rRNA from 1 species
UACGAAGGGGGCUAGCGUUGUUCGGAAUUACUGGGCGUAAAGCGCGCGCAGGUGGUCUUUCAAGUCAGUGGUGAAAGCCCGGAGCUCAACUCCGGAAAUGCCAUUGAAACUGUGAGACUUGAGGACGAGAGAGGUGAGUGGAAUUCCCAGUGUAGAGGUGAAAUUCGUAGAUAUUGGGAAGAACACCGGUGGCGAAGGCGGCAUCCUGGACCGGCAUUGACGCUGAGGAGCGAAAGCCAGGGGAGCAAACGGG